UGCGUAGGCGGCAUGGUAAGUCAGAUGUGAAAUCCCGGGGCUCAACCCCGGAACUGCAUCCGAUACUGCUGUGCUAGAGGACUGGAGAGGAGACUGGAAUUCUCGGUGUAGCAGUGAAAUGCGUAGAGAUCGAGAGGAACACUCGUGGCGAAGGCGAGUCUCUGGACAGUUCCUGACGCUGAGGCACGAAGGCCGGGGUAGCGAAAG
rnacentral:rRNA from 1 species